GAUGAACGCUAGCGGCAGGCCUAACACAUGCAAGUCGAACGGUAAUUACACUUUCGGGUGUGAACGAGUGGCGAACGGGUGCGUAACGCGUAUGCAACUUACCCCUAACUGGAGAAUAGCCUUUCGAAAGGAAGAAUAAUACUCCAUAAUAUUUUCUUGUGGCAUCACAAGAUUCUUAAAGCUUCGGCGGUUAGGGAUGGGCAUGCGUCCUAUUAGUUAGUUGGUAAGGUAACGGCUUACCAAGACAUCGAUAGGUAGGGGGCCUGAGAGGGUUACCCCCACACUGGUACUGAGACACGGACCAG
rnacentral:rRNA from 1 species